ACAUAGAGAACAAAAUAACAUUUUGUUUAGUCAUUCAUACUUUACAUAAUAACAUCAACAUUUACAUUAUUUAGGCAAAAUCUUCUCAUUCAAUAUACAAAAAUAAAAUUAGACAAAAGUGAAAUAAAAAACAUAAAAUAGUAAUAUAAAAUAAUAUCAAAGACAUUAUAAUAAAACAUAAAAAAUAGAUGAGAGGUGAG
rnacentral:lncRNA from 1 species